rnacentral:rRNA from 1 species
UACGUAGGGGGCUAGCGUUGUCCGGAUUUAUUGGGCGUAAAGAGCGUGUAGGCGGCCUAGGUAGGUCUGGUGUGAAAAGCUCGAGGCUUAACCUCGAGAUGUCAUCGGAAACCAUUUGGCUAGGAGUCCGGAAGAUGGAGAGUGGAAUUCCUGGUGUAGCGGUGAAAUGCGCAGAGUAUACAGGAGGAACACCCGAGUGGCGAAGGCAGGUCUCUGGGCAUUAACUGACGCUGGAGGAGCGAAAGCAUGGGGAGCGAACAGG